UACGUAGGGUGCAAGCGUUGUCCGGAAUUAUUGGGCGUAAAGAGCUCGUAGGCGGUCUGUCGCGUCGGCUGUGAAAACUCGGGGCUCAACCCCGAGCCUGCAGUCGAUACGGGCAGACUAGAGUGCUGUAGGGGAGACUGGAAUUCCUGGUGUAGCGGUGAAAUGCGCAGAUAUCAGGAGGAACACCGGUGGCGAAGGCGGAUCUCUGGGCCUUACCUGACGCUGAGGCGCGAAAGCUAGGGGAGCAAACAGG
rnacentral:rRNA from 1 species